AAUGAACGUUGGCGGCGUGGAUUAGGCAUGCAAGUCGUACGGGUCGGUGUAGCAAUACAACGGCAAGUGGCGAAAGGGAGAGUAACGCGUAGAUACCUACCCUCUGGUCGGGGAUACCGCGGCAUAACCGCAAGUAAUACCCGAUAAUAUCUCCGGAUCAAAGGUGUGAUUCCGCCGGAGGAGGGGUCUGCGUUUCAUCAGCUUGUUGGUGAGGUAAUGGCUCACCAAGGCUAAGACGAAUACGGGGUGUGAGAGCAUGCCCCCGCUCACUGGGACUGAGACACUGCCCAGACACCUACGGGUGGCUGCAGUCGAGAAUCGUCGGCAAUGGGCGCAAGCCUGACCGAGCGACGCCGCGUGCGGGAUGAAGGCCUUCGGGUUGUAAACCGCUGUCGAGGGGGAUAAAGUGCAGGUGGGUACUCCCAUCUGUUUGAUAGAUCCCUGGAGGAAGCAUGGGCUAAGUUCGUGCCAGCAGCCGCAGUAAAAC
rnacentral:rRNA from 1 species